rnacentral:rRNA from 1 species
CGCAAGCCUGACGGAGCAAUACCGCGUGAGGGAGGACGCUUUUUGGAUUGUAAACCUCUUUUAUCAGGGAAGAAUUAAUGACGGUACCUAAUGAAUCAGCAUCGGCUAACUCCGUGCCAGCAGCCGCGGUAAUACGGAGGAUGCAAGCGUUAUCCGGAAUUAUUGGGCGUAAAGCGUCCGUAGGUGGCUUGAUAAGUCUGCUGUCAAAGCGUGCGGCUUAACCGCAUAAGGGCAGUGGAAACUAUUGAGCUAGAGUGCGAUAGGGGUAACAGGAAUUCCCAGUGUAGCGGUGAAAUGCGUAGAUAUUGGGAAGAACACCAGCGGCGAAAGCGUGUCACUGGGUCUGCACUGACACUGAGGGACGAAAGCUAG